GAGAGGAGGAGUUACAGCUGAGAAGAUAAUUUCUGUGAAUAACUCAAGGGCCCCAUUCCAAUACUCUACAAAUACAUCCUUCCUUCCCACGGGCCCCAUUCCAAUACUCUACAAAUACAUCCUUCCUUCCCACGGGCCCCAUUCCAAUACUCUACAAAUACAUCCUUCCUUCCCACGGGCCCCAUUCCAAUACUCUACAAAUACAUCCUUCCUUCCCACGGGCCCCAUUCCAAUACUCUACAAAUACAUCCUUCCUUCCCACGGGUCCCAUUCCAAUACUCUACAAAUACAUCCUUCCUUCCCACGGGCCCCAUUCCAAUACUUUACAAAUACAUCCUUCCUUCCCACGGGCCCCAUUCCAAUACUCUACAAAUGCAUCCUUCCUUCCCACGGGCCCCAUUCCAAUACUCUACAAAUACAGCCUUCCUUCUAUUCAUGCACAUCUCUCCAGGUUUCCCACGUUGAGCCAACAUUAUAACAUUACAUUAUAACACAUUGUCUUUAAAACACGUCAAAACCUAAGUUCUACUCUACAGGUGACAGUGAAGGGCAGUAAGGACCUUGUUUACACAAAGCUCUUGGAAUGGGGGGAGGAGGGGUGAGGGAGGAGGGACAGAGAUAGAGGAAAGGGGUGAGGAGGGACAGAGGGUGAGGAGGGGUGAGGUAGGAGGGACAGAGGGUGAGGAGGGGUGAGGGAGGAGGGACAGAGAUGGAGGGGUGAGGUAGGAGGGACAGAGGGUGAGGAGGGGUGAGGGAGGAGGGACAGAGAUAGAGGAAAGGGGUGAGGAGGGGUGAGGUAGGAGGGACAGAGGGUGAGGAGGGUUGAGGUAGAAGGGACAGAGGGUGAGGAGGGGUGAGGGAGGAGGGACAGAGGGUGAGGAGGGGUGAGGUAGGAGGGACAGAGGGUGAGGAGGGGUGAGGUAGGAGGGACAGAGAUGGGGGAAAGGGGUGAGGAGUGAUGAGGUAGGAGGAACAGAGGGUGAGGAGGGGUGAGGGAUGGGGUGAGGGCAGGUAGAUGUACAGACAACAUCCUUUUUUUUAAAGAGUUUCAGGUGAGAAAGAUGAGAAGAACAGGAAGUGACAGACUGGUAUGAAGAAGUAAAAGAUGAGAAGGACAGGAAGUGACAGACUGGUAUGAAGAAGUAAAAGAUGAGAAGGACAGGAAGUGACAGACUGGUAUUAAGGAGUAAAAGAUGAGAAGGACAGGAAGUGACAGACUGGUAUGAAGAAGUAAAAGAGAAGAAGGAAGCACCAAUUAUAUAACAUAUACCAUCUAAGAGUUAAAUAUUACUCCAGGUUAAAGUUAACCUCCUAACCACAAAAUCUAAGAUCAGCUGUCCUCGGGUUUGAAAUAUUCCUCCUGUAAACUUUCCCAUGAAAUCUCCACUUUCACAGAAAUCCUAGAAAAUCC
rnacentral:lncRNA from 1 species